rnacentral:rRNA from 1 species
CUAUGCGCCUUGCCAGCCCGCUCAGGUGUGCCAGCCGCCGCGGUAAUACGUAGGUGGCAAGCGUUGUCCGGAUUUACUGGGUGUAAAGGGCGUGUAGCCGGGCUGACAAGUCAGAUGUGAAAUCCGGGGGCUCAACCCCCGAACUGCAUUUGAAACUGUUGGUCUUGAGUAUCGGAGAGGCAGGCGGAAUUCCUAGUGUAGCGGUGAAAUGCGUAGAUAUUAGGAGGAACACCAGUGGCGAAGGCGGCCUGCUGGACGACAACUGACGGUGAGGCGCGAAAGCGUGGGGAGCAAACAGG